UACAGAGGUCUCAAGCGUUGUUCGGAUUCAUUGGGCGUAAAGGGUGCGUAGGCGGCGCGGUAAGUCGGGUGUGAAAAUCUCGGAGCUUAACUCCGAAACUGCAUUCGAUACUGCCGUGCUUGAGGACUGGAGAGGAGACUGGAAUUUACGGUGUAGCAGUGAAAUGCGUAGAUAUCGUAAGGAAGACCAGUGGCGAAGGCGAGUCUCUGGACAGUUACGUGACGCUGAGGCACGAAGGCCAGGGGAGCAAACGGG
rnacentral:rRNA from 1 species